rnacentral:rRNA from 1 species
UACGAAGGGGGCUAGCGUUGCUCGGAAUCACUGGGCGUAAAGCGCACGUAGGCCGAUUGUUAAGUCAGGGGUGAAAUCCUGGAGCUCAACUCCAGAACUGCCCUUGAUACUGACGGUCUCGAGUCCGGGAGAGGUGAGUGGAACUGCGAGUGUAGAGGUGAAAUUCGUAGAUAUUCGCAAGAACACCAGUGGCGAAGGCGACUACCUGGCCUGUUCUUGACGCUGAGGCGCGAAAGCUAGGGGAGCAAACGGG